rnacentral:rRNA from 1 species
AGAGUUUGAUCCUGGCUCAGGAUGAACGCUAGCUACAGGCUUAACACAUGCAAGUCGAGGGGCAGCAUGGAAGAAGCUUGCUUCUUCUGAUGGCGACCGGCGCACGGGUGCGUAACGCGUAUCAAACCUGCCUCAUACUCGGGGAUAGCCUUGCGAAAGUAAGAUUAAUACCCGAUGUUAUUGGUUCACCGCAUGGUGGUCUAAUCAAAGAUUUAUCGGUAUGAGAUGGUGAUGCGUCCGAUUAGGUAGUAGGCGGGGUAACGGCCCACCUAGCCUUCGAUCGGUAGGGGUUCUGAGAGGAAGGUCCCCCACAUUGGAACUGAGACACGGUCCAAACUCCUACGGGAGGCAGCA